rnacentral:lncRNA from 1 species
AACGCUGCUCUUAGGCUCAUUUACGUCAUUUACUAAAAGAUCUUACCUUUCAAAUGGUAAUAAAGACUUUGAAAUUUUAACUGAGGUUUGGCUGGCUGACCUAUACAU